rnacentral:rRNA from 1 species
GAGUUUGAUUCUGGCUCAGGACGAACGCUGGCGGCGCGCCUAACACAUGCAAGUCGAGCGGAGACUUAUGAAGAGUAAUCUGAGUAAGUUUUAGCGGCGGACGGGUGAGUAACGCGUGAGCAACCUACCUUUUACAGGGGGAUAACGUCCCGAAAGGGACCCUAAUACCGCAUGAGACCACAAGAACGAAUGUUAAAGGGGUCAAAGGAGAAAUCCGGUAAAAGAUGGGCUCGCGUCCGAUUAGAUAGUUGGUGAGGUAACGGCCCACCAAGUCAACGAUCGGUAGCCGACCUGAGAGGGUGAUCGGCCACAUUGGAACUGAGACACGGUCCAGACUCCUACGGGAGGCAGCAGUGGGGAAUAUUGGGCAAUGGGGGAAACCCUGACCCAGCGANCGCCGCGUGAAGGAAGACGGCCUUCGGGUUGUAAACUUCUGUUCUUGGUGAAGAGGGAAAGACGUACCCAGGGAGCC